rnacentral:rRNA from 1 species
UACGGAGGAUGCGAGCGUUAUCCGGAUUUAUUGGGUUUAAAGGGUGCGUAGGCGGGCUGUUAAGUCAGCGGUAAAAGCCCGGGGCUCAACCCCGGCGAGCCGUUGAAACUGGCUGUCUUGAGAUGUCGAGAGGUAGGCGGAAUGCGUGGUGUAGCGGUGAAAUGCAUAGAUAUCACGCAGAACUCCGAUCGCGAAGGCAGCCUACCGGCGCGCUACUGACGCUCAUGCACGAAAGCGUGGGUAUCGAACAGG